UCCAUUAACGGAACCAUGGAGUCUAGACAUACUCUGGGAGAUCAAUUUCUGAUCUUUGAGAGGGAAAUCUUUAAAAAUUUAGGUAUAGCUUUGAGCACUGUAAUAGCAGCAGCAUUUACAUUAUACACCUUGCUGUUUUCUUUGGCAAUCUUGCAUAUACAGAAUAUUCAGAUCUGCUCUUUAAGUUCUCGCAAAUAUGUCCACUAUUCAAGUCUUAACUUUCCUAUGAGAUUUGUUCUGGUUCUCCAAUCCAAAAUGGGAUCCUAAUUAUUUUUUUCUUUAUAAGGCACUGGUGUAAGAUUCAAGAGAUACUGUCUGUGCCUGUUUUCUUUUUAUACCGUUUGUCUGUCUGUCUUACUGUUUGUAUAGUGGCAAAUUCAAAUGCUACCCUAAUACAAAUAUAAGAUAAAAAUAAGCCAGAACAGUGACUAAUAGCAUCAAACUAAUUUUGAUUUGCUAAAACUGGAAGUCCUAAAUAAUUUAGCCAAUAUAUGCAUUCAGCAAGACAUAAAAUUAAUAUAAUAUGCACUUGCAUUCCUAAUUAUCUAUUUAUGAUUGAUUUGAAUCCAAAAUUACAUAUGGACCAACAGUGUUGUAUGCCUGCAAUACAUCUUAUAAAAUGGGACAGUUAGGAUAAUAGCUUUGCUUGAAAUGAGAAGCACAUUACCAUACUAUUCCUCCAUCAAAAAUUGGUGUUAUAUGGUUGUUACAGUACUAGGACGUAUGCUACAUGUUUAACAAAAUGCUAUAUACAUAAUAUAUGAAAGGCGAUUGCAAUUCCCACUGAGCUGUGUUCUCCCACACAGGGUUGAGAUGGAUAAAUAAGUUGAAUAAUAUUUCUACCAUAUGAACAACGUUUUAUAAAAUAUUCUUGGUUUUGUUAAUAAAUAAAAACAUAUUACUUCCUCUUUAGUGAAAGCUGCCUCCCCCCAAUAGAAAUUAUAUUGGAAGGACUUCUCUGAAGCAAUGGCUAUCGUACUUGAUCAAUUAACUUUGGCAAUGCUUGCAUCCCUAAGCAGAGUUUAUUGGACUGAACCAAUGAAUUAACCAUAGCUGGAUGAGUCAAAUCUGUUCAUUGAUUUGUGGAGCAAAAGUCACUCAGUGUGUCACAAAUCCAUAUGAUGCCCCCAAGUGCACUUGAGAACAUACUCUAGGGAACAAACUUACAAAGACAAAGGAAUUAACAAGCUGAGCAAGUCUUUUCCAUUUCUAACCUUUCUGAGUUUUAUAUUUGGAUCCCUGAGUUAGCUAAAAGAUGUGCAAAAUUAGCAGGCACUAGACAGCUCACUAUUGAUUACGCACUUGAGGAAACUCAUGUACAUUUUAUUUUAAUUCCAGAAAUUUAAUUUCAUGCCUUUAUACCUAUGAAAGAAGCCCUUUAUUUAUUGCUAUUUAUUACUUGUAUUACUAUAGUACCUAAGAGCCUUGGUCAUGAACCAGGACCCUAGUGUGCUAGGCGCCGUACAAACAGAACCAAAAGACUGUUCCUGUCCCAAAGAGCUUACAACCUAAAAAAUAAAACAAAACAAACUGAUAUACAGUUGAAGGAGUACAGUAAACAGUGAGGCAGUACUGGGCACCAUGGUAGGGACAACAGCAGCCUAAUUGUCCAUUUUUUUUAUAGAUGUCACAGCAAACGAGAGUUUUGAGGACAAAUUUGAAAGUGGAUAAGGAAGCAGCUUUGCUUACAUUCAUGGGAAAUAUUUCCCAAGCAUAGGAAGCAGAAUGGGAGAACACAUAAAUGGACGAUGGACACUAGUUUCUUGGACCAAUCAGAGAGUAUACAUCAAUCAUGACAAGCUCUCCAAGCUCUCCGUCACUGAGAGGAGGUGUAGAGAGGUACAGGAUUCCCUCCAUAUAGAAAUGAAGGAAGUGAUAUUAUUCUAGCAAGGUGUACACUCCAACAGGACUGGACAGCAGAUUGCUAGGAUUUUCACCACGACUUAAUGGAGAAACUGAGGCUCAGAGAGGUUAAAUGACUUUCUCCAGGAUAUUUGACAUGAAUGGCAGAGCUGAGAAAAAUAACUCAGUUCCUAUGAUCAUAAACCUAUUCUUCUUCCCUAACAUACAAACUAAGCAAACAAAAGUGAUAAUGAGUAUGUGAAGGUGGGUUUUAAUGAAAAGGCCAGACAUUCAUAUUAAAAUGGAUGAAGAAAUGUUUGUGUUAAUAAAUACAUCUGCUAGCUAUUCUCCAGUGAAUGAUCAAAAGCUAUCAGGUCAAAAACAAAGAUAAAGGCAGUAAAAUAAAAAAUUCAAAAAGCAGAUAUUUUCUAGUUACUGUAUAUUAAUUCUGUAUUAAGGCAGUGUCUACAGUAAGGAGACUAUACCAGUUAUGCUGGCAUAUAUCCAUAGCAUAGAUGUAGCCUACACUGGUGCAAGGGAUUUUUCCACUGGAGUAGAAAAACCACUUCUGCAAACAAAGUUAGGUAUAUUGAUGGAAGAAUCUUUCAUUAAAAUAGCUGUACCUACACUAGGUGUUAGGUCUCCUUAGCUAUGUUGGUCAAGGGUGAAGUUUUUUUCAUAUCUUUGACUAUAUGUAAAUGUCAUCCUAAUUGAUAAGUGUGCACCAGCCCUUCAAGAUGACCUGGGUGGGAAUGGAAGAAGUGUAACAAAAAAGAGGUAAAAUCUACUAAUUCCAAGAUCAGUGAGAAAAGGGAUAUUAAACUCGGACAUAUGAGAAUUGAGAAAGGUAAUCAGUGAUUAAGAAAUCUGUAUUCUUUCUUGUAGAUUGGAAUAUUUGAAUGUGUGGAAGAUAGUUGCCAAUUUAUUUUCCAAAUCCGAAUACCCAAAAUUAUGCUCCUAAGAUCGCACUUAUACUUCUAAAUAAAAGUGACCUCAUCUUCAGAUUUAAGCAGCACCUACAAAUCAGACUAGAAUGUAUGGAAGCUGCAGAUGCUCAGAUUCUCUAGAAAUAAAUUGCGUUAGAGCUUUUACUGGUCCCUGCAUAGGCUAAUCCUGUUUGUAAUUUAAGUUCAUUUAAAAUCACUAAAGUCAUUCUUGUCCACUUUAUCAAAACGCAGUAAUAUUUUGGCUAUUAUAUAAAUUGCCACUACACAUGGAUUUCAGAUAGUAUCCAAAAUGCACAAGACCACAUAUAUGUUCAAGUGAUCUUUUAUUAAUUUAGAGCAUUAGGUACAAUUUUAGGGAUAAGACCAAUUUCAACUGAAUAUCAACUUAUUGUUGAACCACUUACAAAAAAACUUCAGUAAGUAUUUUGGGAUAUGAUUAUAGACGUCUUUUUGGCCUUGAACCACUUGAAAUUAGUUGGUCUGGAGCCAAAGGAGGCAAAUAAUGCCACAGUUUUAUAUUUAGGCAAAAGUCAUUAGAAAUGAGAAAAUUAUGUAAUUCCUCAGAGAAAGCAAAGAAAAAAAUAGGACAACUAAUACUCAAACGCUGCAGUUAGCCUGCAGCUAAAUCAAAUCAGUUUAUUUAAAACAUGUAUUCAAACAAACUCUUAUACAACACAGAAAGAAAAAGCUCUUAUACAACUAAAUGUAAUUAGAAACAUAUUAAUACAUUAAUCACACAUUAGUUCACACAGUUUUGAGCUCACUAUCAUUUCAGUACUGUAUAUGCAAAUAGAGUGACAGGGCACUCAUAUCUAGCUACCAUUUGUGUGCAUGCAAAUAUAAAGAGAGGUUGAAAAUUUGGACCUCUGCAUAUCUUUAGAGAGAGAGAGAGAGAGUAUUCUUUUUAGAUAAUUUUAUAGAUACAACCUGGCAGAUAUACAAUUUUCAAAUAAAUUCUGAUUUAAUUUCAAUAGUCAUACCCUGACAUUUUCAAACAAGACUAAUGAUUUUGGAGAUCUUACUCUCGGGUACCCAUUCUGAAAAAUCUUAGAAACAGCCUGAUUUUCAUAAAGUAUUGAACAGGUAUCCUCUCUGCAAAUCAGAUCCCUUAUUUGAGACACCUAAAAUCAGUAGUCACUUCUGAGAAUUUAAACCAGAAUUCUUAAAUGUGCUCAGUACUGGAGGGAGAUAGAAAUGUGGUUGCAAUACUUUGGAGGCAAUACUGAAUCUUUGCAAAUUCCAUAGGACAGGGGCCAUGGGUAAAAUUUUCAGAAGCAUGUAAAUAGCAUAGGCCAUAUUGACACUCAAAGUGAUUAUUGAUAUAGGAAUACCAGUGAACUAUACUGGCAAAUUGUGCUUAGUAUGGACACUGCUAUAUUGGCCAAUCUGUGCUUUGUACUGUAUGGUAAAAUCAUCCCAUAUAAGCAAACCAAACUAUAUAACUAAAAACACAGUUUUGUGGGUAUAAUUGAAUCAGCACUAGGGGAUAGCUUCUGCCAGUACAACCAUGUGGGUCAGGGAUCACACCUCUUCACGUACCUGAGCAACAGAGCUAUGUUGGCAGAAGUCUGUAGUGCAGAAAGAACCUUAGAAGCCUAAAUUUCAUUUUCAAAAGGGAUUUUUUGUUAAAAUCUGGAUGCCUCAAGAUAAGCUCCUAAAUUCACAUUCUGACUCCUAAAUAAAUGUGAUCAUUUUCAGAUUUAAACUCCACCCACAAAUUGGACUAGAUUGUAUGGGGAUGGCAGGUAUUCAGAUUUUCUAGAAGUAAUUGAAGUAGAGCUUUUACAGGUCUCUGCAUGAGUUAAUUCUGCUUGUAUUUACGUUCAUUUAAACCAUUAAAGUUACUGCUGUCUGCUUUAUCAAAACACAGACCAGGGACCCCAGAUUUUAAGGUAUUUAUGCACCUAAAAAUGUAGAUGCCUAGUGGGAUUUUCAAAAAUGUCUGUGUGCCUUACUGCCAAUAAAAUCAGUGAAAAAUCACAGAGAGUUAGGUACCUAGGAGCUUUUGAAAAUCCCAUUAGGCACUUUUCUCUAUGUUUAUGUUUACUUUGUGCACUGGAUUUUAGGUUGCAGAGAUGCUACAGAUGUUGGUGAGGGUUUAGUAAGACUUAUAUCAGCACUUAACUGAGUUAGACUUCUAAUUCCCAUUGACAAUCAAUGGAAUUAUGAGUAAUGAACAAUAUGGUUGUCUACAAAACAAACCAUACCAAAAUAAUUGGAUUAUUUUGAUUGAAUUACUAGAUAGAUUAAUGGAAUGCAGCAUUUGUAGAUUGCAAUUAAACUUUUUUGAAAAAUUUUAAAUACAUCAACCUGAAAACUUGAAAAAGGACUGCAAAUAAAGAUAACAAAGAAACUAAAAUUCAUUGAGUGAAGAGCAGCCUAUCAGAAUGCCACAGAGGUAUGUUUUAUGAUGCGAAGUUGGUUUAUUUAUAACCUUCAUCAAUGAUCUGGUAGCAGGAAGGGCAUUUUACCUAAUAUGUCCUGGUAUUCCUGUUGUGUUCUUGAUGCACCUGGGUUUAUGUUGGUGUCAUUUGCUUUAAUGGGAAAUGUGCAUGACAAAUCUUUAUCCUGAAAGAUGAGUGUACCAUAUGUAUAAAAUUAUAAGAUUAGAACCCUAUUGUGGCUUA